ACUGGAUAUGUCCAAGUGUGCUGACUUCUUCUGUUGCUCAGUUCUUACAGGAAAGAGAACAGUGGUGAGACUGACUGUCAGAACUGAUGGAGAAAUAAAGGAUCCUGAAUUCAGCAGCCAUCUGUUAAUGCAGUUACAGGAGAAACUAAUCAGAGCAGGCAUGUCAGAAAGCACUAGACUACAGUGGAGAACUCAACACAGUGGCCAAAUCUUCAAUAUAAAAUAGAAAGAGCAUUGAAAACAAGGUGUCUGAAUUUGGAAGAGACUAGCCCUGUGUGUCUGGGGCUGCAGAGGGAGCUGUGGACCAGAGCAACCUGACAUGCAUUCAUUUCAGACCUCAGAACUCAAAGAAAU